UACGUAGGGGGCAAGCGUUGUCCGGAAUUAUUGGGCGUAAAGAGCGCGUAGGCGGUCCGAUAAGUCGGCUGUGAAAGUCAAGGGCUCAACCCUUGAAAGCCGGCCGAUACUGUCGGACUAGAGUCCGGAAGAGGCGAGUGGAAUUCCUGGUGUAGCGGUGAAAUGCGCAGAUAUCAGGAAGAACACCCGUGGCUAAGGCGGCUCUCUAGUACGGUACUGACGCUGAGACGCGAAAGCGUGGGGAGCGAACAGG
rnacentral:rRNA from 1 species